AAGACCGAAGUACAUGAUUCCAUGCUUCCAAGAAAAGCAUCUAGAGAGAGAAGUAGUGCCCGUACCGCAAACCGACACAGGUAGAUGAGGAGAGAAUCCUAAGGCCGGCGGAAGAAUUGCAGUUAAGGAACUAGGCAAAUUGACCCCGUAAGUUCGCGAGAAGGGGUGCCUGCGAGAGCAGGCCGCAGAGAAUAGGCCCAAGCAACUGUUUAGCAAAAACACAGGUCUCUGCUAAAGCGUAAGCUGAUGUAUAGGGGCUGACGCCUGCCCGGUGCUGGAAGGUUAAGGGGAACACUUAGCGCAAGCGAAGGUGUGAACUUAAGCCCCAGUAAACGGCGGCCGUAACAAUAACGGUUCUAAGGUAGCGAAAUUCCUUGUCAGGUAAGUUCUGACCCGCACGAAUGGCGUAAUGACUUGGGCACUGUCUCAACUGCAAAUCCGGCGAAGUUGUAGUGCGAGUGAAGAUGCUCGCUACCCGCGAUUGGACGGAAAGACCCCGUAGAGCUUUACUGUAGCUUAGCAUUGAAUUCCGGUAUUGUCUGUACAGGAUAGGUGGGAGACUGGGAAACUAGGGCGUCAGCCUUAGUGGAGUCAACCUUGGGAUACCACCCUGACAGUACUGGGGUUCUAACAGGACGCCAUGAAACUGGUGACUGGACAUUGUUAGGUGGGCAGUUUGACUGGGGCGGUCGCCUCCUAAAAAGUAACGGAGGUGCCCAAAGGUUCCCUCAGAACGGUCGGAAAUCGUUCGUAGAGUGCAAAGGCAGAAGGGAGCCUGACUGCGAGACCUACAAGUCGAGCAGGGACGAAAGUCGGGCUUAGUGAUCCGGUGGUACCUCGUGGGAGGGCCAUCGCUCAACGGAUAAAAGCUACCUCGGGGAUAACAGGCUGAUCUCCCCCAAGAGUCCACAUCGACGGGGAGGUUUGGCACCUCGAUGUCGGCUCGUCGCAUCCUGGGGCUGUAGUAGGUCCCAAGGGUUGGGCUGUUCGCCCAUUAAAGCGGCACGCGAGCUGGGUUCAGAACGUUGUGAGACAGUUCGGUCCCUAUCCGUCGCGGGCGUAGGAAAUUUGAGAGGAGCUGUCCUUAGUACGAGAGGACCGGGAUGGACUGACCUCUGGUGCACCAGUUGUUCUGCCAAGAGCAUGGCUGGGUAGCUAAGUCGGGAAGGGAUAAACGCUGAAAGCAUCUAAGCGUGAAGCCCCCCUCAAGAUGAGAUUUCCCAUAGCAUAAGCUAGUAAGACCCCUUGAAGAACACAAGGUUGAUAGGUCAGAGGUGGAAGUGCGGUAACGUAUGUAGCUGACUGAUACUAAUAGGUCGAGGGCUUGAUC
rnacentral:rRNA from 1 species